UACAGAGGGUGCGAGCGUUGUCCGGAAUCACUGGGCGUAAAGGGCGCGUAGGUGGUGGCUUAAGCGUGCGGUGAAAGCUCGGGGCUCAACCCCGAGUCGGCCGUGCGAACUGGGCUCACUGGAGCAUAGUAGAGGCAGAUGGAAUUCCGGGUGUAGCGGUGGAAUGCGUAGAGAUCCGGAAGAACACCGGUGGCGAAGGCGGUCUGCUGGGGUCGAACUGACGCUGAGGCGCGACAGCGUGGGGGAGCAAACAGG
rnacentral:rRNA from 1 species